rnacentral:rRNA from 1 species
CGGUCACGUUCGUUGCAUUCUUAACUAUUAUAAUACAUAUAAAAUAUAAUAAUUUAUAUUUUGUUCGUAUUGUUUUUUAUUUAUGAAACGCAAUUAAGCAGACAAAUCAAUCCACGAACUAAGAACGGCCAUGCACCACCUAUCACAUAAUCAUGAAAGAACUAUCAUAUUUAUUAAAUUAAUCUGUCAAUCCUUAAUGUGUCCGGACCUGGUAAGAUUUCCCGUGUUGGGUCAAAUUAAGCCACAUGUUCCAC